rnacentral:rRNA from 1 species
GACGAACGCUGGCGGCGUGCUUAACACAUGCAAGUCGAACGGAAAGGCCCUGCUUUUGUGGGGUGCUCGAGUGGCGAACGGGUGAGUAACACGUGAGUAACCUGCCCUUGACUUUGGGAUAACUUCAGGAAACUGGGGCUAAUACCGGAUAGGAGCUCCUGCUGCAUGGUGGGGGUUGGAAAGUUUCGGCGGUUGGGGAUGGACUCGCGGCUUAUCGGCUUGUUGGUGGGGUAGUGGCUUACCAAGGCUUUGACGGGUAGCCGGCCUGAGAGGGUGACCGGCGACAUUGGGACUGAGAUACGGCCCAGACUCCUACGGGAGGCAGCAGUGGGGAAUAUUGCACAGUGGGCGGAAGCCUGAUGCAGCAACGCCGCGUGCGGGAUGACGGCCUUCGGGUUGUAAACCGCUUUCGCCUGUGACGAAGCGUGAGUGACGGUAAUGGGUAAAGAAGCACCGGCUAACUACGUG